rnacentral:rRNA from 1 species
AUUCGCGGGGGAAGGGGGCAUUAGUACGGUAGACGGGUUCGAAAAUCAGAUAAGGUUGAGGCGCAGAGGCGGCUCACUACGAAUAGGGAGAUGUUGUUGUGGUUGGCGCCUUCAAGUGUUUCGAACUCUUUGUAGGUAUUCUUUGGUGCUGCUAGCUCGACGACGGAUGUGCCUCCGCUGCGCGGCCUCCUCAUGGACGAUCGAUGCCGUCGCGCCUCCGCUGCGCGGCCUCCACCUCGACGACGAAGAAGAACAGCCGGCCUGUUGUGUAGAAGGGGCGGCUAGUGGCGCAGAAGAUGGCGGCAACCGAAAGCGGUCGGCAUGCAGUUCGGCGACGCAGCCCAUGGUUUAGCUCCCCCUUUCUAUUGUCAAUAGAACAAAGUUUUCAUGACGUGAGAUCAUAACUAAUGUUUACCUAUGGUUUUAACCAUGAUAUUUGUUCCAACUAGAUCUUGCGUACCACGAACUAGCUUCACGUCUCGGUUGUAUGGAAGGUAAUAGUGAAAACCUUCUGUAGUGUCUAACAAAAAGGCUACUAGUUGUUUAACCGUCGCCACCUAAAAGAUAUCAAAUGUUCCCUUACCACCCCCUUUUCUACCAGCGACACUUCUUUGAUAGGGUUUGCUACGUACUCUUAUUUAAGGUGUUUCUUCAACUUACGUAAUGCUUCCGGUUCGUGUUUUUGUAUCACGCAAAGGAACCUAUGACAAGACUGUGCGUUCCCUCUUAGCUUCUAAUGCUUCCUUUCAAACAGUACCGUCUACAUGCUUUGACCAACGAUACAAAACUCAUGCAUGGCUUACCUUCAGAGUAGCUCAUAUAAUGGCUAGGUAGAGCACCUGAACUUACCUCUCUCGCUAUGGUUUAUUAAUUCCCUUAGACACUCCCUGAUGAAGUAGAAGUGCUCUUCGCAUAGGAGGUGGAUCUAGAGUUCGGAUCAUUAUAUAACUAACUAUAAGUGUACCAUGGGUUUUAACGACUAAAACCGGAGAGUUCCACGGAACUAUUUCUGGUUUGGGCACUGAAGUGAAGUUUGUAUACACCUAGUGACCCUAUGUACCGUGGGCUUAAGAAGUAUCCUGUUCAGUGUAAACGUAGUCUGUAUAUGUCAGAACCAUAAUAUUAAUACCUCUAAGACUGUCCCCUCUUCCCCAUAGUCCUUCUUGUCCUACAUCAACUCUUAACCUACUUAGCCAACCUCCGUCGUCUAGUUUUCCUCUGCGUCAACCUCGUUCAUUCUCAUACGUGAUGCUAUCCCUAUCUCACGUACCUGGGAUUGGGUUUCUUCUCUGGCAAACGUGUAGUAUAUCAGUUAUUCGAACUAUUUUGCCGUUCAUAGUAGCUUUGAACGUAGUGAUCAGGUAGACAACUCGUAGUCCAAUCUAGGGAUUUUCUUGUUGUGACAGUUUCCUUUUAACACCUAGAAAGUGAACUCAUGGAGGAUUUUCUUGUUGUGUCAGUUUCCUUUUAAAACCUAGAAAGUAAACUCAUAGAGUAUUUUCUAUACUCGCCCGCGUGAUUUUGCCUUCUUGAGUACCUUAAAUAACCCCGUAAGUUUCUAGUAACCGCCGUGCGCUUUCUUGUAGUCACCAGUGAUGCCCCUCACGUUCCAUGUUUCUUUUUAUGGUCGGUUGUUGUUCCCCGUUCAUAAAGAUCGAGAUUGAGACAACACGAGUUGUUCAACUUGUAGAAAUCAUGUUUUCGUGCGUCCUUAAUACAGUCCUUACCACCCGGAUACGAACUCUUCUAUCUAUACAACUUUGAAAAGUUCUUCCUCCUCGAAUUCGGUCGAUAAUUACUGUUCUUGGCAUAACCUUCUCUACAGAAACUUCUUCAAAUGUAUCCGGAACAACUAUCUCAUGGUCAGUAUCAUUUCUUCGUCUAAUCACCAUGACACGAUGUUUUACCUGUCAAACGUUUCCUUCAGUAGUAGGUUAGAGUUCAAGAGGUGUUCUUGUAACAAUCCGAGUAUCCAACAACGCACCUUCAACUGUAGGGCUACGAUCAUAUACUCAUAGAGAGGUUUCUGUCGGAGGUACUGUAAGAAGUGUUGUUGACGUUCCAUGCAGAGUUGAACCCGCACGCAAAUUUAUAACGGUGUCUUAGUCGUGCACCAGAUCGAAUAUACGUAAGUUCCGUAUUAUAGAAUGUACCAUUAUAAUUUAGUCUUUUAUAUGAGAACCUACUGGUAAAACACGGUUUCUAGAGUUUAAAAACGUAUAGUUCCAACUGGCCCUCUCCGAUGUUUGUGUGGUCUUGUCAGUUCCCGCUGCUAGGAAUAUACCUAGGUGAUAUGGAUGUUUGUCCGGAUGAAUCGCUUAUAUCACUACACAUGUCAAAACCUCAGCAAUACAACCUUGAAGAAUGGUCCUUCUUCCGGUGUGUGAGACCAUUAUUAUCGAAUCAUUCCUUAAAGGAACUCUUAGUGUUCGUCCCAUCCUUUAGUUGGCUCGAUAAGCUACUCUUUUAACGUCACUACCUCUUAGACCUCGAAGAACUGUUAGACCGUGUUGAACAACACCUUACGGAAUCGGUUUUGAACCUAGAUUCUGGCUUUUACUAUCUACAACGUUUCGCCGAGGUGUAUGACUUACUUAGAGCACCGGUCACCCAGAAUUCAACUGUUCAGCUACGUAAAUGAUCAAAUCAAACUUGAAGUUUGUUGUAUAUACAACGCCGUUUAUUCGAAGACUAUCCACGUUAAUAUCUCCCUACACACUACUAGCUGCACAUUAAAUACAUAAAACAACAACACUUGUUGAGAAACUUUAGGAGAUCUCGACAUUUUCAUUUUGUGCGAUUUUCGUUGCGGGAGCAUCCGGAGGAGCCGGGACAGCUGGGUGACCAUGUUUUUGGAGACAGUCUAACAAGCGAG